rnacentral:rRNA from 1 species
AUUGAACGCUGGCGGAAUGCUUUACACAUGCAAGUCGAACGGCAGCACGGGUGCUUGCACCUGGUGGCGAGUGGCGAACGGGUGAGUAACAUAUCGGAACGUAUCCAAUAAUGGGGGAUAACUAAUCGAAAGGUUGGCUAAUACCGCAUACGCCCUACGGGGGAAAGCUAGGGACCUUCGGGCCUGGCGUUAAUGGAGCGGCCGAUAUCUGAUUAGCUAGUUGGUGGGGUAAUGGCCUACCAAGGCGACGAUCAGUAGCGGGCCAGAGAGGAGGACCAGCCACACAGGAACUGAGACACGGUCCAGACUCCUACGGGAUGCAGCAGUGGGGAAUUUUGGACAAUGGGCGCAAGCCUGAUCCAGCCAUUCCGCGUGAGUGAAGAAGGCCUUCGGGUUGUAAAGCUCUUUCGCAAGGGAAGAAAACUUAUCCUCUAACAUAGGAUGAGGUUGACGGUACCUUGAUAAGAAGCACCGGCUAACUACGUGCCAGCCGCCGCCGUAAAAC